CAAGCGGGGAAUAGCCCAGAGAAAUUUGGAUUAAUACCCCAUAAUAUAUUUGAUAAGGCAUCUUAUUAAUAUUAAAGCUUCGGCACUUGAUGAUGGGUGUGCGGCUGAUUAGAUAGUUGGCGGGUAACGGCCCACCAAGUCUACGAUCAGUAGCUGAUGUGAGAGCAUGAUCAGCCACACGGGCACUGAGACACGGGCCCGACUCCUACGGGAGGCAGCAGUAAGGAAUAUUGGACAAUGGACGAAAGUCUGAUCCAGCCAUGCCGCGUGAAGGAUUAAGGUCCUCUGGAUUGUAAACUUCUUUUAUAUGGGACGAAAAAAGGGCAUUCUUGUUCACUUGACGGUACCAUAUGAAUAAGCACCGGCUAACUCCGUG
rnacentral:rRNA from 1 species